rnacentral:rRNA from 1 species
UACGUAGGGGGCUAGCGUUGUCCGGAAUCAUUGGGCGUAAAGAGCGUGUAGGCGGCUCGGUAAGUCCGCUGUGAAAGUCCAGGGCUCAACCCUGGAAUGCCAGUGGAAACUGUCGAGCUAGAGUCCGGAAGAGGCGAGUGGAAUUCCUGGUGUAGCGGUGAAAUGCGCAGAUAUCAGGAGGAACACCAAUGGCGAAGGCAGCUCGCUGGGACGGUACUGACGGCUGAGACGCGAAAGCGUGGGGAGCAAACAGG